AUUAAAAACCCUAAUGAACUAUUGAACACAAACGGACAUAAACGAACAUAUCACUGAACGUUCACGAACAUAAAUGACAAACGUGGCCUUUGUUCAUGUUCGUUCAUUAACUAAAUGAACAAAAGUUCUUGUUCGUGUUCGUUCCUUUAUUAAAUGAAUGAACACAAACGGACUUCCCGCCCAACAGUUCACGAACUUUUCGCUGAACGUUCGGUUCAGUUGCAGCCCUACUUGAAAGUACAUUAAAAGAAUGUAUUUUAUACUAUUCUCAUAGUUUUGAGGUUUACCACCCGUAGACAAUUCUUGUUUGUUAUAUAGUUUACUGGCAUUUCGGUUGCAGGCCUCCAUUGCCUGUUCUACUACCAGCUGCAAGCGGUCAAGGUUUGGAAAUCAGUGCUCAAAUGGUGCGGAGAGAUGGUCAGAUAUUUUACAGCUUAAUGUUCGAGAACAAAACGCAAAUUCCACUGGACGGGUUCAUGAUUCAGCUCAAUAAGAACACGUUUGGUCUUGCUGCUGGUGGACCCCUCCAGGUCCCACAAGUGCAACCGGGAACAUCAGAAAGAACACUUCUUCCUAUGGUGUUGUUUCAGAAUAUUGCACCGGGCCCACCAAACUCGGUUCUGCAGGUUGCUGUGAAGAACAACCAACAACCUGUGUGGUACUUUAAUGAUAAAAUCUCACUGCUCGUGUUGUUUACCGAGGAAGGAAGAAUGGAACGUACCGCCUUUCUCGAGACAUGGAAGUCAUUGCCAGAUUCCAACGAGGUCUCAAAAGACAUUCCGUCUAUUGUGAUAAACGAUAUUGAUGCAACCAUAGAGCGGUUAUCUUCUUCAAACAUGUUCUUUAUUGCCAAACGUAAGAACGGCAACCAGGAUGUCUUAUACUUAUCAGCCAAAAUCCCACGCGGUAUCCCUUUCUUGAUUGAACUGACAACAGUUGUCGGUGUUCCCGGGCUUAAAUGUAACAGUAACUACAAUGAAUAAGGUGUUUUUUUAAUUAAAAUAUCACGUCGAAGUUGUUCUCGUUUUCACAUCGUUUCACGGAUCAGAGUAUCAUGGCACGCGUAGUACAGCAGAUGCCGGCAGAGGUCGUGGUUUUAUGGCAGGAGGCGGCAGGGGGCAAGGUGUGGUCGCAGAUUUGAUGUGAUAAUUCAUUAGGGUCGGGUUAUGGGUCAGAACGGGUUUCAGAUCCAGCAUGCUUUUGAAGAACAUGGACAUGUUGAGGUUUCUUUAGUCAAAAAUAAGAGAACAGGGCAGCAACAAGAUAUCAUGGGACAUGCUAUGGCAAAUAUCAUGGGUCGUGGCCCAGGCGUUGAUCGAAGUAGUGGCGAGCAAGGUCGUAGUCAAGGAAGUGUUCUAGGUAGUAGUGAUACCGUUGGACUAAAGUCAGAUCAGUAGCGAUGCUAAAAGCUAGGUUUCAAAACGCAUAAUCAUUGACUUAAGUUUCAAAACGUGUAAACGCUUUGUUUUGAAUAUGUAUUUUGUUAUGAUAACUUUGGUAUUUGAUGUUUUAAGUGGAAUGUUUUAUAUGAUAA